AGGAUCAUUGUCGAAACCUGCCUAGCAGAACGACCUGUGAACAUGUCAAAAAGUACCUAAGUGGGAUUGUUGAUGGCUUUGGUCCCUUGUUAGCGAAACCCUGCAGCCUCGCAGACCCGACCAAACAACAAACCCGGCGCGAACGGCGCCAAGGAAAUCAAAAACGGAACGGGCGUGCCUUCGCUUCACCGUCGGUGUUGCGGGGCGUCGUCGAAACUCCGAUCUCAAAACGACUCUCGGCAACGGAUAUCUCGGCUCUCGCAUCGAUGAAGAACGUAGCGAAAUGCGAUACUUGGUGUGAAUUGCAGAAUCCCGUGAACCAUCGAGUCUUUGAACGCAAGUUGCGCCCUAGGCCAUUAGGCUGAGGGCACGCCUGCCUGGGCGUCACGCAUCGUGUCGCUCCCCCCAGCCACCCCAUGGGAUGGCCGGUUUGGGAGCGGAGAUUGGCCCCCCGUGUGUCGUAUGCGCACGCGGCCGGCCUAAAAGCCGGGCCCCCGGCGGUCGACGUCACGACGAGUGGUGGUUGAUACGUGAUACCCCUUGCCUUAUCGGACGUCGUGCACGCUCGACCGCACACGGGGCCCCGGAGACCCCGAAGAACCGUCGUCAAGGACGACGCUCUCACUGCGACCCCAGGUCAGGCGGGGCCACCCGCUGAG
rnacentral:rRNA from 1 species